UGUUACUGCGAAGGGGGGACGGAGAAGGCUAUGUUGGCCGGGCGACGGUUGUCCCGGUUUAAGCGUGUAGGCUGGUUUUCCAGGCAAAUCCGGAAAAUCAAGGCUGAGGCGUGAUGACGAGGCACUACGGUGCUGAAGCGACAAAUGCCCUGCUUCCAGGAAAAGCCUCUAAGCAUCAGGUAACAUCAAAUCGUACCCCAAACCGACACAGGUGGUCAGGUAGAGAAUACCAAGGCGCUUGAGAGAACUCGGGUGAAGGAACUAGGCAAAAUGGUGCCGUAACUUCGGGAGAAGGCACGCUGAUAUGUAGGUGAAGCGACUUGCUCGUGGAGCUGAAAUCAGUCGAAGAUACCAGCUGGCUGCAACUGUUUAUUAAAAACACAGCACUGUGCAAACACGAAAGUGGACGUAUACGGUGUGACGCCUGCCCGGUGCCGGAAGGUUAAUUGAUGGGGUUAGCGGUAACGCGAAGCUCUUGAUCGAAGCCCCGGUAAACGGCGGCCGUAACUAUAACGGUCCUAAGGUAGCGAAAUUCCUUGUCGGGUAAGUUCCGACCUGCACGAAUGGCGUAAUGAUGGCCAGGCUGUCUCCACCCGAGACUCAGUGAAAUUGAACUCGCUGUGAAGAUGCAGUGUACCCGCGGCAAGACGGAAAGACCCCGUGAACCUUUACUAUAGCUUGACACUGAACAUUGAGCCUUGAUGUGUAGGAUAGGUGGGAGGCUUUGAAGUGUGGACGCCAGUCUGCAUGGAGCCGACCUUGAAAUACCACCCUUUAAUGUUUGAUGUUCUAACGUGGGCCCCUUACCGGGGUUGCGGACAGUGUCUGGUGGGUAGUUUGACUGGGGCGGUCUCCUCCUAAAGAGUAACGGAGGAGCACGAAGGUUGGCUAAUCCUGGUCGGACAUCAGGAGGUUAGUGCAAUGGCAUAAGCCAGCUUGACUGCGAGCGUGACGGCGCGAGCAGGUGCGAAAGCAGGUCAUAGUGAUCCGGUGGUUCUGAAUGGAAGGGCCAUCGCUCAACGGAUAAAAGGUACUCCGGGGAUAACAGGCUGAUACCGCCCAAGAGUUCAUAUCGACGGCGGUGUUUGGCACCUCGAUGUCGGCUCAUCACAUCCUGGGGCUGAAGUAGGUCCCAAGGGUAUGGCUGUUCGCCAUUUAAAGUGGUACGCGAGCUGGGUUUAGAACGUCGUGAGACAGUUCGGUCCCUAUCUGCCGUGGGCGCUGGAGAACUGAGGGGGGCUGCUCCUAGUACGAGAGGACCGGAGUGGACGCAUCACUGGUGUUCGGGUUGUCAUGCCAAUGGCACUGCCCGGUAGCUAAAUGCGGAAGAGAUAAGUGCUGAAAGCAUCUAAGCACGAAACUUGCCCCGAGAUGAGUUCUCCCUGACUCCUUGAGAGUCCUGAAGGAACGUUGAAGACGACGACGUUGAUAGGCCGGGUGUGUAAGCGCAGCGAUGCGUUGAGCUAACCGGUACUAAUGAACCGUGAGGCUUAACCUUACAACGCCGAAG
rnacentral:rRNA from 1 species